ensembl:snRNA U6 U6 spliceosomal RNA
GCCCUCACUUUGGCAGCACAUAUAUUAAAUAUUGGAGCAAUACAGAGAAGAUUAGCAUGGCACAAGAAUGACAUGCAAAUUUGUGAAGUGUUCCAUAUUUUU